UACGGAGGGUGCAAGCGUUAUCCGGAUUUACUGGGUUUAAAGGGUGCGCAGGCGGAUAUGUAAGUCAGUGGUGAAAUCUCUAGGCUUAACCUGGAAAUUGCCGUUGAUACUAUAUAUCUUGAAUGCUGUGGAGGUAAGCGGAAUAUGUCAUGUAGCGGUGAAAUGCUUAGAGAUGACAUAGAACACCUAUUGCGAAGGCAGCAGGCUAAACGACCAUUGACGCUGAGGCACGAAAGCGUGGGGAUCAAACAGG
rnacentral:rRNA from 1 species